rnacentral:rRNA from 1 species
AGAGUUUGAUCCUGGCUCAGGAUGAACGCUAGCUACAGGCUUAACACAUGCAAGUCGAGGGGCAGCAUUGGGGUAGCAAUACUCAGAUGGCGACCGGCGCACGGGUGAGUAACACGUAUCCAACCUGCCGCUUACUCGGGGAUAGCCUUUCGAAAGAAAGAUUAAUACCCGAUGGUAUAAAGAGUUCGCAUGUUCUCUUUAUUAAAGAAUUUUGGUAAGCGAUGGGGAUGCGUUCCAUUAGAUAGUUGGCGGGUAACGGCCCACCAAGUCUACGAUGGAUAGGGGUUCUGAGAGGAAGGUCCCCCACAUUGGAACUGAGACACGGUCCAAACUCCUACGGGAGGCAGCAGUGAGGAAUAUUGGUCAAUGGACGAGAGUCUGAACCAGCCAAAGUAGCGUGAAGGAUGACUGCCCUAUGGGUUGUAAACUUCUUUUAUAAGGGAAUAAAGUGAGGGACGUGUCCCUUUUUGUAUGUACCUUAUGAAUAAGGAUCGGCUAACUCCGUGCCAGCCGCCGC